GACGUAGGGGGCGAGCGUUGUCCGGAUUUAUUGGGCGUAAAGAGCUCGUAGGCGGCUUGUUGCGUCGACUGUGAAAACCCGCGGCUUAACCGCGGGCUUGCAGUUGAUACGGGCAGGCUAGAGUUCGGUAGGGGAGACUGGAAUUCCUGGUGUAGCGGUGAAAUGCGCAGAUAUCAGGAGGAACACCGAUGGCGAAGGCAGGUCUCUGGGCCAUAACUGACGCUGAGAAGCGAAAGCAUGGGGAGCGAACAGG
rnacentral:rRNA from 1 species